GAUGAACGCUGGCGGCGUGCCUAAUACAUGCAAGUCGAGCGAACAGACGAGGAGCUUGCUCCUCUGACGUUAGCGGCGGACGGGUGAGUAACACGUGGAUAACCUACCUAUAAGACUGUGAUAACUUCGGGAAACCGGAGCUAAUACCGGAUAAUAUAUUGAACCGCAUGGUUCAAUAGUGAAAGACGGUUUUGCUGUCACUUAUAUAUGGAUCCGCGCCGCAUUAGCUAGUUGGUAAGGUAACGGCUUACCAAGGCAACGAUGCGUAGCCGACCUGAGAGGGUGAUCGGCCACACUGGAACUGAGACACGGUCCAGACUCCUAAGGGAGGCAGCAGUAGGGAAUCUUCCGCAAUGGGCGAAAGCCUGACGGAGCAACGCCGCGUGAGUGAUGAAGGUCUUCGGAUCGUAAAACUCUGUUAUUAGGGAAGAACAAAUGUGUAAGUAACUAUGCACGUCUUGACGGUACCUAAUCAGAAAGACACGGCUAACUACGUG
rnacentral:rRNA from 1 species